rnacentral:misc_RNA from 1 species
CGCCGGCCUAUCCGGCAGUCACCCCCUCUCUCCUGGGUUUUCGCUUUUCUUCUCGACGCCCCUUCGUUGAGUUGAAGCUUGGUAACGGAGGAAAGAAUGGCCACUGCCCUAGCCCGCAUCUCUAGAAAAGCCCUAGCGUCCUCGCACCCCCACCUUCUUAGCCGCACCUUCUCCGCUGAUGCUGGGGCAUCAACCAAAUCUAUAACGCCGUCGCCCGAUCGAGUCAAGUGGGACUAUCGAGGUCAAAGGCAGAUAAUCCCGUUGGGUCAGUGGAUUCCCAAGGUCGCCGUCGAGGCCUAUGUCGCACCCAAUGUCGUCCUAGCGGGUCAGGUUACGGUCUGCGAUGGAGCGUCAGUUUGGAGCGGAUCGGUCCUCAGGGGUGAUCUCAACAAGAUCACAGUCGGCUUCUGCUCCAAUGUUCAAGAGCUGUGCGUUAUGCAUGCCGCCUGGAACUCGCCUACAGGGCUGCCGGCAGAGACAUCCAUUGAAAGGUUUGUGACAAUUGGUGCAUACAGUCUCUUGCGGUCCUGCACAAUUGAGCCAGAAUGCAUUAUUGGACAGCACUCUAUCCUCAUGGAAGGUUCUUUGGUGGAGACACACUCAAUACUUGAAGCAGGGUCAGUAGUUCCCCCAGGAAGGAGAAUUCCAACUGGUGAACUUUGGGCAGGAAAUCCAGCAAGGUUUGUGAGGGCUUUGACUCAUGAAGAGACUUUAGAAAUCCCAAAACUUGCUGUUGCAAUUAACGAUCUCAGCAAAAACCAUUUCUCCGAGUUUCUUCCUUACUCUACAGUAUAUUUAGAGGUUGAGAAGUUGAAGAAGAAGUUAGGCAUUUCUAUCUGAUGCUUUUAACUGUCAUGUUUUUAUGUGCCGGUUAAUGGCAAGGAAAUAAAUAGCUGGAGAACAUAUAAAGCAAGCUUUCAUGUUUCUUUUGUUUGUAUUUGAUUUUGUUGGUUGUUGAAAGAGCUGGUUGUGAAUUUCAACCAAAUGGGUGAAUGGUAGUCACUGGGGGCACUUGUCAAUGGUAUUUGGUUUGCAUACUAAAGCUUACUGUACUUGGCUUUGUUCAGCCUUUCUUGAUGUUGGCUGUCGAGAACUUGUCCAUUUUCCCUUCAUAUCAAAGAAGAUACUCCAGUUCAUUAGGGAAACAGCAUCGCUGGGUUUACGUCACCAAAUCAAAAAAACUAAUAUGAGUUAAUUAGUGUGCUUUAUCGAUAUAGGGGGUUCUAAUAUCAUGUCUUGGUUGUCAUGAGAAUUAUUUUGAUGGAAACUAUUUAGGGUUCGUUGCUGUAUGUUCAUAAUGAAUUAUAACCAUUUCUGCAAUAGUGAUCUCUCUCCUUUGGAAAUGGCAAUUGAGUUUCA